GGAUUAGAUACCCUGGUAGUCCACGCUGUAAACGAUGAGAACUGGACGUUGGGCAGGUUACUGCUUGGUGUCGUAGCUAACGCGCUAAGUUCUCCGCCUGGGGAGUACGGCCGCAAGGUUGAAACUCAAAGGAAUUGACGGGGGCCCGCACAAGCGGUGGAGCAUGUGGUUUAAUUCGAUGCAACGCGAAGAACCUUACCUGCCCUUGACAUCGACGGAAGCCUACCGAGAGGUGGGUGUGCCUUCGGGAGCCGUCAGACAGGUGCUGCAUGGCUGUCGUCAGCUCGUGCCG
rnacentral:rRNA from 1 species